ensembl:snRNA U6 U6 spliceosomal RNA
GAGGCACCACGCCUGGCCACAUAUAUGAGAACAUUAUACAGAGGUUAGCAUAGCCCCUGAGCAAGGAUGACAUGCAAAUCUGUGAUGCUUUGCAUAUUUUU